AUGGACUACGAUGUGGAAGUGUAAACCAAAUAAACCCUUCCUUCCUAAGUUGUUUUGGUCAUGGUGUCUUAUCCUAUCAGUAAUAAUGCUAACCAAGACAGUCCUCACGUAGGAAAAUGUAUGUGUCUUUUGUGUGUCUCUUGCAUAUUCAAACCCGCCUCCUUAGCUAGGUCUUUGUUGUUUAUUUAUUCCUUCUUUCCCUCACUCCCUUCCUCCUUUGUUUCUGUUUGUUUUGUUUUGGAGGAAGGAUCUUACUGUGUAGCCAGAGCUGCCUUAGCUUCCUGAGUACUGGCUUUACCAGGCUGUCACCACACUUGGAUGUAUCUGAGAUUUCUGAAUCUUGUGUGCGUGUGUGCGUGCAUGUUCGUGUGUGCACGAAUGCAUGCUCACUUGUAUGAGUGUACAUUUUGUGGUAUUGUGUGAGAUUCAGGGCCUUGGCAUGCCUUACCAUUGAAUUACACUUCCCAUAGGAAGCAGGGCCACCACAAAGCAUUUUUGUCAGGGCUUUAGUCAUGGUUGCAUUGCCAGUGUUCAGGGUCUGUGAUGAUUCAUCUCUGCUGUAGGAUUUAGAAUCCCCUAGGAGAUAUACCUCUAAGCCUAUCUUUGAGGGCUCGUCCACAGAGGUUAACUGAGAAGGAAAAAUACCCUGAAUUAGGUAGCACCAGUCACUGAGUUCAGGCCCGGUUAAAGAGAGAAAGGGUGCUGAGCACCAGUAUUUUCCUGCUCCCUGACUGUGGGUGGAUGGAACUUGACCAGCUACCUUGACUACCCGCAGCCAUGCCUGCCUUACCACGAUGGACGGUGUGCCCUCAAACCGUGAGCCAAAAUAAGCCGUUCCUUCCUUAGGCUGCCUCUCGCCAGGCGUUUGGUCACAAGGCCCCCAAGUCUUAGUAGUCCCCCAGAUCUUAGCACAGCUUACUUGGUACUUCCGUGAUGGAAGUAUUAGUCAGGUCAUAAAACUCAGUACACAGCACCGCCUGCCAAAAGGAAAACAAAGAUCUCAUUCAACAAAAUCCAUCAUUCUGGGAAAGUCUCUAAAUGUACUAACCUUGCAUUUUGGCUUCUGUAAUUCUGCCCCUGACUCACAGCUCUUGCCAUGCCAAUCCAGGAUAUGGUUUUUGUGUUUAAAAGGCCACCCUGAGGAAGGCUCAGGGCUCCAUUGGUGUUCCAGGGUAGUCGCCAGCCCAGCUAAUAAAGACUUCCUCUUGGCUUAAACCAUGUGCAGGUCAUCUUUGGUGGACACCCCACAGUAACAAGAAGAAGAACAGUGAACCAUGCAGGGUCCACCUCGAGGCCAAAGGGGCGGGGCUGUGCAGGUCCAGCUGAGCCCCUGUCACUCACUUCGUCAUCAGUCUGCUGUGUCAAUAGCUAGCAUUGGAAUUUGUUACCAGCCAGAUGGGCCAUAUCUGUGAGCCUGUCGUUCAGCAAGUCAAGGCCGGAGAACUGAGAGUUCAAUGUCAAUCUGGCCUAGGUAAAAAACAAAACAAACCAACCAACCAACCAAACAAACAAACAAACAAAAACAGAAAAAAGCUUUAUUCUUGGUGUAGUAGUUCCCAUCUGUAAUCCCAGCACCAGGGAGGCAGAAGAGACAUCAUCAAGUGUUCUAGCCCAGAGCCUGGGCUAUUAAGUGAGACUCUGGUUUGACAACACACACACACACACACACACACACACACACACACACACACACACCAGAGAGACUCCUCCUUCCCUGCACGUUCUUUUGCUACCAGGACCUCAGUUUCAGCAUCCUUGCUAACAUGUUUGCACAAUCAUCUCUUCCUUGUGGUGGACAAUAUCUGUUUUAUCCUAUUUGCUCAAUCUGUUUCAUUCUGCCUUGCCUAGGUUCCUACUUCAUGGCAUCCCCAUAAUGGAUUAAACAACUGAGGGCUCGGGAAGAGGAACUUUAUCCAGAAUCAGCAUCAUCUCAUGGCUUCCUUCAGACAGGGGCUCUAGUGUAAUCAUUCUGCUCGUAAAGGGGUAUCCAAACGUCCAGGGGCUCUUGACUUUUUGAAGAUAGACAUGCCAGCUCCUGCAACAUCCUAUAGCUCCUCUAAGAAGAUGCGUGGUUGCAAAAAGACCUUCUGCCUUGAGGCCUGACUUUGGGUAUGGCAAAGCCACCCACACAGCAAAAAGUGCCCUUCCACCCCUUCAGCUUCCUGGACGCUACACCAGGGGAUUUGAUCAUCUCAUCCUGCCAAGACAGGUCACUCCUGUUGUCUGGGCCAAGAUCAACUUGCCUGAAGUCUCCAGGAUGACAGCAAACCGGAUGCAUCUGUAGCCACACCUCUCGCUGAGCGUGAACCCACCAACUCCCAGCUCUCCCCUCUCCCAUGUCACCCCAUACCCCAUGCCUGUAGGAAGUAGCCAGACUUGAGUCUGUGCACCUUUAUCCAAAGAAAAUCGGAAAUGCUUGGUUAAAAGCAUCACCUCAGCUCCCUAACACCCCUUUAUACAAAAAGUCUGGAUUAUUAGUUGGGGGCUUCACCCCAGCCCCUGGCAUCCAUUUUCAGAAUGCUGGGUGGAAAACUCCAUUCCAAGCUCCCUCCCCUGGGAGUUGCCUCAGUCCAAACACCACCUCUGAGAAAGCCACCAAAAGAUGACCCCUCCCCAGGGAGGGUCAAGACCACUCCCAUAGGCUAUUUAAACUUCCCCCCAGAGAAUGAACACAUGGUCUCCCCUUUUCCCUCUUCCCCUCUCUGUGUUCUCCCAGGGGCCACCCGGGAGUAUUGUCAUCCAUUAAACCUGGGUAUCUUUUAAUUUGGUCCGAUGGGGAUUAUUUGUGUUAGUGGAGAGGUUGGUUGUUUAAGACAAAAACUUAACAGCAAGGAAAUACUAGAUCAAAGUAAUACUGAAAACCAGCUGGGCAAACUCCAGACUCUGCAUCUCCACGUCUGAUAUCAAAGCACUCUCCAGAUCUCCAGCUCCAUUCAGCUUUGCUGUUGACGGCAGCAUACUUCUCUCUCUUGGGCUGGUUUCACUCCCUGUUGGCAGCUCUCCUCGGCAGGAUGAACGUACUCCCCGGCACACAGUGAAGGCAAAGAUGCCCACGACUACAUGCUCUGCGUACACCAGCUUGGAAUUCUGCCCACUUACGCCCAAGGACAGGGGGACAAAGUCCUAGGAUGACAAACAGCACCUGCACAAUGCAGGUCCAUUGAGCCUUUCCCCAGCAACCCAGGUCUUUCAAGGCCAGCAAAUGGAAUCAGGAAAUGGAAGUUCCUGUGUGUGAAUGAGUAGUUCUCUAAUGAAGGUUUGCCCCAUCACUUAAAACGCAGGAAAAAGCAAAACAAAACAGCAACAACAAAAUAAAAUAAAAACCAAAACCCCAGCCUCACUCCCUCUCUGGGCCAACCACAGGCAUCUAACCAGGAGAUGGCAGCACCGUAAUCCAUAAGGCACAGGUCAGGACAGGGACCAGUAGGGCUAAGGCCACAUAGUGAGACCCUGUCUUGAAGAAACUGAAAAGCUGAGUCUUGUGGUAGUUGGAGUGAGAAUGUCCGCAGUAGACUCGGAGGUUUGAAUACUUGUUCUCCAGUUGGUGGUUGUGUUUGGGUAGGGAUGGGAGGCCUGACCUGGCUGGGGGAAUAAAAUGUCACUGGGGGCGGGCUUUGAGGUUUUAGGAGUCAUGCACCAUUCUCUGGUGAUCUGCCCUGCUUCCGACUUGCAGUUCAAGAUGUGAGUUCUCAGCUGUUCCUACUGCCAAGAUGGACUCUGAGUCCUCUGGACAGACUCAAACAAACUCUUAAAUUGCCUUGGUCACAACGAAAAAAAUCCAGAUAAUCUCCCAUGGCAUGACCAGAAGCCCACCUCCAAGGUGAUUCUAGUUUCUAUCUCGUGGACAAUGAGCACUAACAUCACAGGGAUAUAGGCCUGUUUCCCCAGCACUUGGGAGGGAGAGCAGAAGUCUAGGCCAGCCUGGUCUACAGGAGACUCUGUCUCAACCUACUCUUCCACCCCAAAUGAACGCCAACUAAUGCAGAAGGAAUAGAAGAAUUAGAAAAAUACUGUUUUGCAGCUUUCCUUCCAUGUUACAGUUCAGGCAAAGGUCAUGAAUGGGUGUGGAUGGAAGGAAUGCAAUCUAGGGCGGAGGGUCUCAACCAUCCUAAUGCUGUGGCCCUUCAAUAUCGCUCCUCAUGUUGUGGUGACCCCGCCAAUAAAGUAUC